rnacentral:rRNA from 1 species
AGAGUUUGAUCCUGGCUCAGGAUGAACGCUAGCGACAGGCUUAACACAUGCAAGUCGAGGGGCACACAGGUAGCAAUACCGGGUGGCGACCGGCGCACGGGUGAGUAACGCGUAUGCAACUUGCCUAUCAGAGGGGGAUAACCCGGCGAAAGUCGGACUAAUACCGCAUGAAGCAGGGAUCCCGCAUGGGAAUAUUUGCUAAAGAUUCAUCGCUGAUAGAUAGGCAUGCGUUCCAUUAGGCAGUUGGCGGGGUAACGGCCCACCAAACCGACGAUGGAUAGGGGUUCUGAGAGGAAGGUCCCCCACAUUGGUACUGAGACACGGACCAAACUCCUACGGGAGGCAGCAGUGAGGAAUAUUGGUCAAUGGGCGUAAGCCUGAACCAGCCAAGUCGCGUGAGGGAUGAAGGUUCUAUGGAUCGUAAACCUCUUUUAUAAGGGAAUAAAGUGCGGGACGUGUCCCGUUUUGUAUGUACCUUAUGAAUAAGGAUCGGCUAACUCCGUGCCAGCAGCCGCGGUAAUACGGAGGAUCCGAGCGUUAUCCGGAUUUAUUGGGUUUAAAGGGUGCGUAGGCGGCCUUUUAAGUCAGCGGUGAAAGUCUGUGGCUCAACCAUAGAAUUGCCGUUGAAACUGGGAGGCUUGAGUAUGUUUGAGGCAGGCGGAAUGCGUGGUGUAGCGGUGAAAUGCUUAGAUAUCACGCAGAACCCCGAUUGCGAAGGCAGCCUGCCAAGCCAUGACUGACGCUGAUGCACGAAAGCGUGGGGAUCAAACAGGAUUAGAUACCCUGGUAGUCCACGCAGUAAACGAUGAUCACUAGCUGUUUGCGAUACACAGUAAGCGGCACAGCGAAAGCGUUAAGUGAUCCACCUGGGGAGUACGCCGGCAACGGUGAAACUCAAAGGAAUUGACGGGGGCCCGCACAAGCGGAGGAACAUGUGGUUUAAUUCGAUGAUACGCGAGGAACCUUACCCGGGUUUGAACGCAUUCGGACCGAGGUGGAAACACCUUUUCUAGCAAUAGCCGUUUGCGAGGUGCUGCAUGGUUGUCGUCAGCUCGUGCCGUGAGGUGUCGGCUUAAGUGCCAUAACGAGCGCAUCCCUUGCCACUAGUUACUAACAGGUAAAGCUGAGGACUCUGGUGGGACUGCCAGCGUAAGCUGCGAGGAAGGCGGGGAUGACGUCAAAUCAGCACGGCCCUUACAUCCGGGGCGACACACGUGUUACAAUGGCGUGGACAAAGGGAGGCCACCUGGCGACAGGGAGCGAAUCCCCAAACCACGUCUCAGUUCGGAUCGGAGUCUGCAACCCGACUCCGUGAAGCUGGAUUCGCUAGUAAUCGCGCAUCAGCCAUGGCGCGGUGAAUACGUUCCCGGGCCUUGUACACACCGCCCGUCAAGCCAUGGGAGCCGGGGGUACCUGAAGUCCGUAACCGCAAGGAUCGGCCUAGGGUAAAACUGGUGACUGGGGCUAAGUCGUAACAAGGUA